UUGGCUCAGGAUGAACGCUGGCGGCGCACAUAAGACAUGCAAGUCGAACGGAAGUCGUAUUAAUUGAAGAGGAUUGAAGAUUUAUCAGAUUGAAUCAGAUUUUAAUACAAUGGCUUUAGUGGCGGACUGGUGAGUAACACGUAAGCAAUCUACCUAUUAGAGGGGAAUAACAAUGAGAAAUCAUUGCUAAUACCGCAUAAGCUUGUAGGACCGCAUGGUCUAGCAAGAAAAGGAGCAAUCCGCUAAUAGAUGAGCUUGCGGCUGAUUAGCUAGUUGGUUAGGUAACGGCUGACCAAGGCAACGAUCAGUAGCCGGGCUGAGAGGCUCUGCGGCCACAUUGGGACUGAGAUACGGCCCAGACUCCUACGGGAGGCAGCAGUGGGGAAUA
rnacentral:rRNA from 1 species